rnacentral:lncRNA from 1 species
UUGGUCCGCAUCUCGGUCCAAUUACGCGCUCUCCACACUGGCCCGGACUUGGCAACGUCUCGAUCCCACCACGAAAGAGCAUUGUCCGUCAGCUGGGCUGCUGCUAGGGAAACCUUCUUGGCCUCACUAUAUUGGUAAUAGUCGAAGAUGUACUCCAUGCGCUUCUCCCACACGAUGUAGGCAUCUGGAUCAACCUUGCCAGCAAACGUUGGGGGAUGAAGCUUAAGAGCCUUGCCUCCCAACCAAGGCUCUUCCUCCUCUCGGUCUCGACCUCCCCUAUGGUCGCGGCCUCCUCCUACUUGGGCCCGGG